UACGAAGGGGCUAGCGUUGCUCGGAAUCACUGGGCGUAAAGCGCACGUAGGCGGAUUGCUAAGUCAGGGGUGAAAUCCUGGAGCUCAACUCCAGAACUGCCUUUGAUACUGGCGACCUUGAGUCCGGGAGAGGUGAGUGGAACUGCGAGUGUAGAGGUGAAAUUCGUAGAUAUUCGCAAGAACACCAGUGGCGAAGGCGGCUCACUGGCCCGGUACUGACGCUGAGGUGGCGAAAGCGUGGGAGCAAACAGG
rnacentral:rRNA from 1 species